rnacentral:rRNA from 1 species
CAGCAGCCGCGGGAAUACGUAGGUGGCAAGCGUUGUCCGGUAUUAUUGGGCGUAAAGGGCUCGCAGGCGGUUUCUUAAGUCUGAUGUGAAAGCCCCCGGCUCAACCGGGGAGGGUCAUUGGAAACUGGGAAACUUGAGUGCAGAAGAGGAGAGUGGAAUUCCACGUGUAGCGGUGAAAUGCGUAGAGAUGUGGAGGAACACCAGUGGCGAAGGCGACUCUCUGGUCUGUAACUGACGCUGAGGAGCGAAAGCGUGGGGAGCGAACAGGAUUAGAGACCCGCGUAGUCCCUGUCUCUUAUAC